UUGCCGCCAUAUCACGUUCAAACGUCGGUUUCCGUACGAUCGAUCACCAAAGCUAAGCAACGUCGAGCCUGGACAGUACUUAGAUGGGUGACCGCUUUGGAAUACCAAAUGCUA